GGAACCCUAAAGCGUGCAGCAGUGCUUCAGUGGUGAGGCAGCGGACAUUGAAGCUGAUGGUGUUGAGGCUCGUAGAGGAACUAAUGCUUUCCGUGCCAUGGUACACACUGGAUGAGGCAGUCACCAGCAACAGAUGACGUCAUUCCCAAUCUCUGCAGCACCUGAUUGAAAUGUGUGUGUCCAGUACAGCUUUCCAGCAGUAAACGCCAUGCAUGAUUUGCUCAGCCCAUCUCAAUCAUCUGAACAAUGGGUGUGUGCUUCUGGUUCGAGGUCACAGCAAAGCUAUUGAUCAUGGCCAGUCCCAAACUCAGUGGGCUCCUUUCCGUCCUCCCAUCCUCAGUUGUCCUGGGGCACCAGACAAGGCAGAUUACACGAAGCCUCUGAGAAAACAGCACAGACAAUAAUUCCACCUCAAAACCUAAUCUGAUGCACGGACGGUCAGUCUGCUGAACGAACUUUCCCACCAUGAAUGCUUUCAUCUCGGUAAAAACAAGAAAUAGGGCCUCCAGGGAUGACUCAACGUUUAAGAGCACAGACUGCUCUUGUGGAAGACCUGGGUUCAGUUUCUAACAUCUACAUAGCAGUUGACAACCACCUGUAACUCCAGU